ensembl:lncRNA
GGGGGACAGCCUUUAACCAUAGCAUUGGUGUCUAUACUUUUGGCCCAUAGCAGGCCAAACAUGCCCAAUCAGCGACAUGUCUGGAGAAGAAUACCAAACCAGCAGUGCACAUGCUCGUCAGGGAGCAGGAGAUGGCUGGACAACAAGCACAAGAGAUGGACAUCAAAAAGGAAGGACCGGAUCAAAUCGGGAAUGCACCCAGGGAUGAGGGCAGCGAGAGCCCCAGUCCGAAUAACCGGCUGUCAUUACAGAAGGCCAAUGGGGAGCAGCCGUUGGACAGUCUGUCCCAGCCCCCCCUUCUCAAGAAAGCUGUGUCGGGGUCCUCUGUGGACUCUGAGUAUGUAGAGAAAAGGGCAGAUGACAGCUUCAAAUUAAAUAAUAUGACCAAUACGUUUACUGGGCCACUGGUGCUGGAAAGCCAAAGCCAUUGGGACAGCCAGGCAGAGGAUGGGCGUGACCGGUCUCCUGACAGGAACAACGACACAGAUAGCAUCAGCGCAUACGAAGACGCCUGUGCCGAAACACCCGAGCUGGAUGAGGGCGAUGGGCCAAGGCUGCCCCAUGAUGAAGGCUCCCCAGUGGAUGACAUUGAGGGGGAACUUAUCUUAAAUGGCAGUGAGCCCAAAAACCCCAAUGAUUCUUGCGUUCUGUCGUAAGAGUUACAGAAGUGUCAUGGCACGAAGGGUGACAUCUGCUCUGAGAUCACUGCUCUUACUUUCUUUCCCUUGAUAAUAUAAUGCCAUUCAGCAGAUGCCAUUUAAAGUAAUGGGUGCAUAUAUAUUUUUUACGUUUUAGAAAGUAGUUAAAUACAAUAUUUUCCUGGACCAGGGCUCUCAUACAGUACAAUCCAUCUACACCUAUGUAAGUGUAGAGUAAACACAGAGUUAUCUGAAUACAAUCAGGUAGGGUGGCAUUUCAAUAAUGUUUACAGAUGCCUAUAAAAUCAAUCUCUCUCCCUCGGCAUGUUUGGGAUGACGUGCAAGUCAUAGUUUUCCCGCUGUUUGGUUUUCCACCUCCCUUGGUUACUUAGUGGCUGAUAAUUCAUAACUCUAGGGUUUGCACACACUGAACAAUUGUGUGUUUUAGGAAAGACAGAAGACCUCUAGCAUUCUAAACGGGUGUAUUAUGUAAUUUGUAGAUAACAACAUAUUUUAGUGUUUUCAGUCGGUUAAGGCCCUAUUCAAAGAUGUUUGUUCCACAUCAAAACUAGGAUUCCAACAUCCAUCAUCGCAGAUUGUUCUGAAAUUGGUUCUGUUAUUAAACAUAUUAGUAAAAAAUCAAAUUUCAUCCCUGAAAAACAGUUACAUUCAAAUUGACCAUUUGUCUUACUGAAAUGGAAUGACUGCUGAUCUAGGACCAGGACCUCAUCUGUCCAUGUAAUCUUAUAAAUCAUGUUUAGAAAGGCCAAAUAUUCUCAGCAAUAGAACCAUGCUUACAUAUAAGUAGUUGUCACAAAGUGCUUAAACAGAUAUCCAGCCUAAGAUCAGAACAAGCAAAGCAGAUUUUGAAGCAUAGUGCAGAUUUUGAAUAAUUUAGGCCUAGAUUAACAACUAGGUAGACUGUGGAAAGGGACAGCAAGGAGUUGUCAGGCCAGGAAUGGUCCAGGACUCUCCUUGGUUGAGUGAGUUUGGGCCAUGAACAGAACACUAACUAACCUGAGACAAGGCUGAGUAUAGCCCACAAAGUACUCCCAGAACACAAUGCCAUUUAGUAUAAUGAAAUUACCCUGGCAUGUUGUGAUGCACCCUCUUAGGGACAGCAUGUGAAAGUGCAAUUAAGCCAGUGACUCAGACUUGUUUAUAAGUGGAGAGAGAGGCUGGUCAUGCAGGGUCGUCCGUUUAAUGAUUUGCAAGUUAUACUUAAAUCAGCCCUAGCCUAACAGGCAGUCAAUGUUCAGAGGCUAGUACUGCAGUGAUAGGAUUUAUUUUUGGGGGGAGUUCUGGUCAAGAGUUCUGGUUAUUUAAUCAGCCUUGUUGAAGCUCUAGUUGAAGAUUUAUUUAGUUGAUAAUUAGCCUGAAAAAAGAUUACUCAAUCUUUUAUCGUUUUCCAAUCUAAAGAUUUGCCUUUUUGCAGAUGUUACUAAGCUAAACUAAAAAAAGCUGUUAUUGAAGUAUUGGUUUGCAUGUUUGUCAAAAUAGAGACCAGUUCAGAGUAACGGUUUGGUACUUCAGGUUUGUUUGAGAUUAUUUUAAAACCAUCAACAUUCAGUGUCAGUCCUUGGAACUAAGAACUAGUUUCUCUGUUUUAUUCUUGUUUAAAACUAGAUUCUACCAUUUACAUUUAUAUCUAAAGCACAGGCUUCCAAUUUAGUUAGUUGUCUGCCUGGUUAUGUUUCAUUGAAAUGGACAGCCUUGUAUGGUCUGUACAGCAGUGAAGAUUGAGUGUUUCUGAAUGACGCCAAAAUAUACGAUGUAGCAAAAGUUGCCCUGAAACAGAACUUUGACAUUUACCUUUUUAUUUGAAGGACAGACCAACCACCAGGGUAACUGAUAUAUUUCAAAAACAUACAAUCUGAACUGGGCUAAAUGUUAUCCAUGUAAACAUUUACCCAGUCUCUACAAAUGAAUGUUGUGAUCGAUUUUUGUUGAAGGUGGCAGGUCAAGAAAGAGGACCAGUUAUUAAGAAUCAUGAUUUAACACUACUGAAAUGUAAUUAACCACCUUUAGGAUUGCAAUCAGACUGUUUUACAUAUAUUGUUUGUGUUUAGGAAUGCAUGAGUUGCCAGGGGUGAGUUAUAACAUGUUACAUGUAAUGUGAUAUAGGUAAUUAAGUAAUUUUCAGGAAUAAGUAAGUUUAUUCCUGGGGUUUAUUGUCUAACUGUGGACAUGUAUUUCUAAAUGUGAGUACAUUUCAGUUCAUGUAACAGUGCUUUAGUACAGAUUUUCAGUACUCUAACCACCCCUGUGAGUUGCUGUGGAAUGGCUUUAUAAAAGCAAACUACUAGUAACUCAGAGGAAUGGAAGAUUCAAUAUACUGUUGUUCAUCAGUUUAUUUUUUAAAAGGUUCUGCGUAAAGGUUUGUCUUUUUUAGAUGAAGCUUUAUUACUGCCUCUGUCGGUGUAUUUGGUACACAUCCAGAGGAUAUGGUUGUACAUAGGAAGGCCAAGCACAGGAAGUCGCUCAUUUAGUUGGAAUAAGGUGCAGUAGAGAGCUGGAAGUUUUGGAGGCCUUAACAUUUUCUCAAUGUUGAGGGAUACGAGAAAAAACAAUACUUGAGUGUCUCUAUUGUUACAAGGUCCUAGCAGUUCACUGCGGACUCAGGACAAACACAUUUUAGAAAAAAUCUCUAUUUAGGGAGAAGUCUUAGUUAUGUUUAUAAUGAUCAUUCUUUUUUAUUCAAAAAGGUUCAUGGCUUUGUCCCUGAUAAUGUAAUUGAUGUUUUAAAUUUGCAGCUGCAUCAAAACACUUUCAUAUAUUUUUAUUAUUUUCAGUCAAGC